GACCGGGAGGAGGAGCAGCGCGACGGCGGCCAGUACUACUUCCCUCAGUAGUACCGCGCCGCUCCGCCCUGGAGUGACGCCCUCCGCCCAUGGGCCUGGCCGAGGGCAACCGGCGGGCGGCGCGGAGGAGGCGGCGGCGGCAGCAGGUGGCGUGCAGCAGGGUUGGAGCCUGGUCGGGCCAUGGCCGCCUCGGAGCGGCUCUACGAGUUGUGGCUACUCUACUACGCGCAGAAGGACCUGGGCUAUCUGCAGCAGUGGCUGAAGGCCUUUGUGGGUACCUUUGAGAAGAGCAUCUCACUAUCCUCUCUGGAGCCACGCAGGCCGGAAGAGGCAGGCGCGGAGGUGCCGCUGCUACCUCGGGAUGCGCUGCACGUGCUGGCCGAGCAGCUGGACGAGGGGGACCUGGGGCAAGCCCUGCUGCUGCUCAAACUCUUCGUCAUCCUCUGCAGGAACCUGGAGAAUGUAGAGGCAGGCUGGGGCCAGGUGCUGGUGCCCCGGGUGCUGGCGUUGCUGACUCGCUUGGUGGCCACGCUGAAAGGACCCCCACCACCGGAGGAGGGCCAUGGGUCCCAGCUGGAAAAUGUAGCCCUGUAUGCCCUGCUCCUCUGUGAGGGCCUCUUCGACCCCUACCAGACCUGGCGGCGCCAGCACAGUGGGGAGGUCAUCAGCUCCAAGGAGAAGAGCAAGUACAAGUUCCCUCCUGCGGCUUUGCCCUGUGGAUUCAGCACCUUCUUCAGAGAGAGCCUGCAGGAUGCAGAUCACUUGCCUCCUGUGCUCCUGCUGCGUCUUAUCCAUCUCUUUGGUGCUGUCCUUGCAGGAGGGAAGGAGAACGGGCAGAAGGCUGUGAGCGCUGGCACUGUUCAGGGCCUGCUGGAUGUGGUGCGGGGCUGGGGCCACAGGCCAGCCCAGGACCCCCGCCUAGUGCCGCUGGCACUGGAGGCACUGGUGGGUGCAGUACAUGUCCUGCACACCAGCCGCACGCCCCCCCGGGGGCCAGAGCUCCGAGCCCUGCUUGAGGGCUACUUCCGUGUCCUUAAUGCCGACUGGCCGGCUGGGCCAAGCCUGGACCCCGAAGAGGCCCUCAUCACCCUGCGAGUCAGCAUGCUCGACGCCAUCCCCAUGAUGCUGGCAUGUGAGGACCGGCCAGUGCUGCAGGCCACCUUCCUCAGCAACAAUUGCUUUGAACACCUUAUUCGCCUCAUCCAGAACAGCAAGCUGUACUUGCAGGCCCGGGCGCCCCCUGAGGGGGACAGUGACCUGGCUACCUGGUUACUGACCGAGCCCGAUGUCCAGAAGGUACUGGACCAGGACACAGACGCCAUUGCGGUCCACGUAGUCAGAGUGUUGACCUGCAUCAUGAGCGGCUCCCCCUCCGCCAAGGAGGUGUUUAAGGAGCGCAUCGGCUACCCUCACCUGCAAGAGGUCCUGCAGAGUCACGGUCCCCCCACCCAUCGACUGUUGCAAGAGCUGCUCAACAUGGCUGUGGAGGGCAACCACAGUACGUGUCCGCCACCACCAAUCCGCAAUGAGCAGCCAGUGCUGGUGCUGAUGCGGUGGCUGCCAGCACUGCCCACAGCUGAGCUGCGGCUCUUCCUGGCACAGCGCCUCUGGUGGCUCUGUGACAGCUGCCCUGCCAGCCGUGCCACGUGUGUCCAGGCCGGUCUGGUGGGCUGCCUGUUGGAGACGCUCAGUGAGGGGGUAGCCCUGGGGGCCCGCUGCCAGGAGCAGCUGCUGGCGCUGCUGCAAGCAUUGGGCCACGUGUCACUAAGGCCCUUGGAGCUGCGUCGCUUGCUCCGUCCCCCGCCAGGGCUGGACUCAGGGCCGGGUGGAGCUGAGGCCGGGGAUGCCCGACACGCAGGGGCCAUCAUCCGCACGCUCUCAGGCAUGGCCCGGCACCGGGGCCCGACACGAGCCCUGUGCUACUUUGACCUCACGCCCAGCAUGGCGGGUAUCAUGGUACCCCCCGUGCAGCGAUGGCCAGGACCUGGCUUCACCUUCCAUGCCUGGCUGUGUCUGCACCCCACGGCUGUAACACCUGCCCCGGCCCCCACCCGGCCGCUCCAGCGAAAGCAACUGUACAGCUUCUUCACCAGCAGCGGCUCAGGGUUUGAAGCCUUCUUCACGGCGGCUGGGACCCUGGUGGUGGCCGUGUGCACCCGGAAGGAGUACUUGACCAUGAGCUUGCCUGAAGUGUCCUUUGCCGACUCUGCCUGGCACUGUGUGGCCAUUGUCCAUGUGCCCGGGCGCCGGCCCUUCAGCCAGAACCUGGUGCAUGUCUACAAAGACGGCUAUCUGGUGAAGACGGCACCCCUUCGUUGCCCCUCCCUUAGUGAGCCUUUCUCCUCCUGCUGUAUCGGCUCUGCUGGGCACCGCACAACGACCACCACCACGGGCCUGCCUGCGCCACCCGUCCCUGCUGCCCUGGCUCACACUCACCCCUCCCUCACCCGCUCCCAGUCAGUCCCGGCCACCACAGGGCUUGGCUGGGGGUCCGGGCUGGUGGCCCCCCUGCAGGAGGGCAGCAUCAGCUCCACCCUCGCAGGCACACAGGACACUCGGUGGGGCAGCCCCACAUCCCUGGAGGGCGAGCUGGGGGCUGUGGCCAUCUUCCAUGAAGCCCUGCAGGCGGCAGCCCUGCGGGUCCUAUGCACCUUGGGGCCCAAUGAGACAGCACCCUUCAAGCCUGAGGGUGAACUGCAUGAACUUGGCACCAAGCUGCUCCUCCAUUACUCACCUCAGGCCUGUAAGAACAACAUCUGCCUGGACCUGUCCCCUGCUCAUGGGCUGGAUGGUCGCCUGACAGGCCACAGGGUGGAGACCUGGGAUGUGAAGGAUGUGGUGAAUUGCGUGGGAGGCAUGGGUGCCCUGCUGCCCCUGCUGGAACGAGUGGCUACACAGCCCCAAGAAGCCGAGGCAGGUCCAGCAGAAACACAUGACCUUGUGGGGCCCGAACUGACCUCGGGCCACAACACCACUCAGGGACUGCUUCUCCCACUGGGCAAGUCCUCAGAGGAGCGAAUGGAGAGGAAUGCAGUGGCUGCCUUUCUGCUGAUGCUGCGGAACUUCCUACAGGGCCAUGCUGUGAACCAGGAGAGCCUGGUGCAGUGCCAGGGGCCUGCCAUCAUUGGGGCCCUCCUGCGCAAGGUCCCCAGCUGGGCCAUGGACAUGAAUGUGCUCAUGUCUGCGCAGCUUCUGAUGGAGCAGGUGGCAGCCGAGGGCAGUGGGCCCCUCCUGUACCUGCUCUACCAGCAUUUGCUCUUCAACUUUCACCUCUGGACCCUUAGCGACUUUGCUGUGCGCCUGGGCCACAUCCAGUACGUGUCUAGCAUAGUCCGUGAGCAUAGACAGAAGCUGCGGAAGAAGUACGGGGUCCAGUUCAUCCUCGAUGCUCUGCGCGCUCACUACAGCCUACAGCGGGAGCGCCCCCUAGCGGCUGAUGACCUGCGCACGGUACAGACUUCACUUCUGGGCCUGGCGCGGGAGUUUCUGGUGCGGAGCUCUUCCGCUGAUGACCUGCAGGUGGUGCUGAACUUUCUGGCGGCUGCGGGUGAUGAUGGCCAGGUGCUGGGUGCGCUGGACCUGCUGCUGGCACUGCUACAGGGCUCCCCAGCACAGGAGUCUUUGGCUGUCUUCCUGCUAGAGCCAGGGAACCUUGAGGUGCUGCUGGCACUGCUGGUGCGGCCAAGGCCCAUGCCCUUGCUGCCCGACCGAGUCUGCAAGAUCCUGCGCAGACUGCAGCAGAAUGAGCGCUUACCUGAGCGCAGCCGCCAGCGGCUCCGGCUGCGAGAGUGUGGCCUCCAGGGUCUCGUUGCCUGCCUGCCGGAGGGGGCCGUUUCCCCCCAGCUCUGCCAGGGCCUCUUCAAGCUGUUCCUGGGGGCAGAUUGCCUGAAUCUCUCAGAUCUAUUGGCUGUGGUGCAGCUGUCCCUCCAGGCUGACCUCAGCAUCCGCCUAGACAUCUGUCGUCAGCUCUUCCACCUCAUCUACGGACAGCCAGACGUAGUGCGGCUGCUGGCCCAACAGGCCGGCUGGCAGGAUGUGCUGACCCGGCUGUUUGUCCUGGAAGCCGUCACAGCUGGCAGUCCCCUGCCGUUUACCCCCGAGCCACCCACCUCCCCGGAGCCAGCCUUACACAAGCCACCCACUGAGUCACCUGAGCCUUCGGACGUCUUCCUGCCCGCAGAGGUCCCCUGCCCUGACCCUGACGCCUUUUACCAGGCUCUUUCCCCAUUCUCCGCACCCUUGGAGCUGGGCCUGGAACGGGCCAGUGUGAGUUCAGGCAAUACUGCUGGCGGUGGCAGUGGCAGUGGGACUCUCACUCCAGCCAGCCAGCCUGGCACACCUUCCCCGCUGGAUGGGCCCCGGUCCUUCCCUAUUGCCCAGGGCCGCCACAGCUCCAGUCUCUCCAAUGUGCUGGAGGAUGGCAGCCUGCCAGAGCCCACCAUCAGUGGGGAUGACACCUCUAAUACAAGCAACCCUCAGCAAACCUGUGAGGAGGAGCUUUGUAACCUGCUCACCAACGUGCUGUUCUCGGUGACUUGGCGGGGAGUGGAUGGCAGUGACGAGGCUGCCUGGCGGGAGCGCGGCCAGGUCUUCUCCGUGCUCACCCAGCUGGGGGCCUCAGCCACGCUUGUGCGCCCACCAGACUGCAUCAAGCGCAGCCUCCUGGAGAUGAUGCUGGAGUCAGCCCUGACCGACAUCAAAGAGGCACCCCUUGGGGUCCUAGCCAGCCUCACCCAGCAGGCGCUCUGGCUGCUGCGCCUGCUGCAGGACUUCCUGUGUGCCGAGGGCCACGGUAACCAGGAGCUAUGGAGUGAGAAGCUCUUUGAAGGUGUGUGCAGCCUGCUUGAUCGCCUGGGGGCCUGGCUGCACCUGGCCAAUGGCACAUCAGAUCUCCGAGAGAUGGCACAGAUCGGCCUGCGCCUCGUGCUUGGCUACAUUCUGCUGGAGGACCCACAGCUGCACGCCCAGGCCUAUGUGAAGCUGCACGCACUGCUGCAGACUGCAGUGCCCGUGCGCCGGGAGGAGGCUUGCUAUGUGCUCUCCAAGCUGGAGGCGGUGCUGGCGCGGGCGCUGAACACCCCACCCUCAGAGACCCCCACCGGGGACGGGGAGCGCCCAGCUGCAGCCGCUGCUGCAGAGCGCUGCUCAUGGCUGGUACCGCUGGUGCGCACACUGCUGAACCGUGCCUACGGGCCACUGGGGCUGCAGUGGGGGCUGCCUUCCCUGCCUCCCACCAACGGCAGCCCCACCUUCUUCGAGGACUUCCAGGCCUUUUGUGCCACCCCCGAAUGGCGUCACUUCAUCGACAAGCAGGUGCAGCCCACCAUGUCGCAGUUCGAAAUGGACACCUACGCUAAGAGUCACGACCUCAUGUCAGGCUUCUGGAAUGCCUGCUACGACAUGCUCAUGAGCAGUGGGCAGCGGCGCCAGCGGGAGCGGGCACGCGGUCGUCGGGCCUUCCAGGAGCUGGUGCUGGAACCUGCGCAGCGGCGGGCGCGCUUGGAGGGGCUGCGGUACACAGCGGCCCUGAAGCAGCAGGCAGCGCAGCACUCGACCGCCCUGCUGCACUGGGGGGCGCUGUGGCGUCAGCUCUCUAGCCCCUGUGGGGCCUGGGCCCUGAGGGACCCGCCCACCCCCCGGUGGAAGCUCUCCAGUGCGGAGACAUACUCGCGCAUGCGUCUGAAGCUGGUGCCCAACCAUCACUUCAACCCUCACCUGGAAGCCAGUGCCCUACGCGACAACCUGGGUGAGGCCCCCGUGACACCCACAGAGGAGGCCUCCCUGCCUCUAGCAGUGACCAAAGAGGCCAAAGUCAGCAGCCUACCCGAGGAGCUGCAGGAAGAUCAGCUGGGUGAGGAUGAGCUGGCUGCGCUGGAGACCGCGUUGGAGGCCGCAGAACUGGAUGAGCAGCACGAGAAGCUGGUGCUGUCAGCUGAGUGCCAGCUGGUCACAGUGGUGGCUGUGGUCCCAGGGCUGCUGGAGGUCACCACACAGCACGUGUAUUUCUACGACGGCAGCGCUGAGCGUGUGGAAACCGAGGAGGGCAUCGGCCAUGACUUCCGGCGCCCACUGGCCCAGCUCCGCGAGGUCCACCUGCGGCGUUUCAACCUGCGCCGUUCGGCGCUUGAGCUCUUCUUCAUUGAUCAGGCCAACUACUUCCUCAACUUCCCCUGCAAGAUGGGUGGGGCCACGGCCUCAUCUCCGUGCCAGGCCCCCAGGCCCCAACCCUGCCCCAUCCCGCCCCACACCCAGGUACGGAACCAGGUGUACUCGUGGCUCCUGCGCCUGCGACCCCCUACCCAAGGCUACCUGAGCAGCCGCUCCCCUCAGGAGAUGCUGCGUGCCUCAGGCCUUACCCAGAAAUGGGUACAGCGUGAGAUCUCCAACUUCGAGUACCUGAUGCAACUCAACACCAUUGCGGGGCGGACCUACAAUGACUUGUCUCAGUACCCUGUGUUCCCCUGGGUCCUACAGGACUAUGUGUCCCCAACGUUGGACCUCAGCAACCCAGUCGUCUUCCGGGACCUGUCCAAGCCCAUUGGUGUGGUGAAUCCCAAGCAUGCCCAGCUUGUGAGAGAGAAGUAUGAGAGCUUCGAGGACCCAGCGGGCACCAUUGACAAAUUCCACUAUGGCACCCACUAUUCCAACGCAGCAGGUGUGAUGCACUACCUCAUCCGCGUGGAACCCUUCACCUCCUUGCACGUCCAGCUGCAGAGUGGCCGCUUUGACUGCUCUGACCGGCAGUUCCACUCCGUGGCAGCAGCCUGGCAGGCCCGCCUGGAGAGCCCAGCCGACGUGAAGGAGCUCAUCCCAGAGUUCUUCUACUUCCCUGAUUUCCUGGAGAACCAGAACGGCUUUGACCUGGGCUGCCUGCAGCUGACCAACGAGAAGGUAGGCGACGUGGUGCUGCCCCCAUGGGCCAGCUCUCCUGAGGACUUCAUCCAGCAGCACCGCCGGGCUCUGGAGUCAGAAUAUGUGUCCGCCCACCUGCACGAGUGGAUCGACCUCAUCUUUGGUUACAAGCAGCGGGGGCCAGCUGCAGAGGAGGCCCUCAACGUCUUCUAUUAUUGCACCUAUGAGGGGGCCGUGGACCUGGACCAGGUGGCAGAUGAGCGGGAACGGAAGGCUCUGGAGGGCAUUAUCAGCAACUUCGGGCAGACUCCCUGUCAGCUGCUGAAGGAGCCACAUCCGGCUCGGCUUUCAGCUGAGGAAGCAGCCCAACGCCUUGCACGUCUGGACACUAACUCACCUAGUGUCUUCCAGCACCUGGACCAGCUCAAGGCCUUCUUCGCAGAGGUCAUCAGUGAUGGCGUGCCCCUAGUGCUGGCCCUGGUUCCCCACCGGCAGCCCCACUCCUUCAUCACCCAGGGCUCUGCAGACCUGUUGGUGACCGUGAGUGCCAAUGGGCUGCUGGGCACCCACAGCUGGUUGCCCUAUGACCGUAACAUAAGCAAUUACUUCAGCUUCAGCAAAGACCCCACCGUGGGCAACCCCAAGAUGCAGCGACUGCUGAGUGGGCCUUGGGUGCCAGGCGGUGGCGUGAGUGGGCAGGCCCUGGCAGCAGCCCCAGACGGAAAGCUGGUGUUCAGUGGUGGCCAUUGGGAUGGCAGCCUGCGGGUGACUGCACUACCCCGGGGCAAGCUGUUGAAGCAGCUCAGCUGCCACCUCGAUGUAGUAACCUGCCUUGCACUGGACACCUGUGGCAUCUACCUCAUCUCAGGCUCCCGGGACACCACGUGCAUGGUGUGGCGGCUCCUGCAGCAGGGUGGUCUCUCGGUGGGGCUGGCAUCAAAGCCUGUGCAGGUCCUAUACGGGCAUGAGGCUGCAGUGAGCUGUGUGGCCAUCAGCACUGAACUUGACAUGGCGGUGUCUGGAUCCGAGGAUGGAACUGUGAUCAUCCACACUGUACGCCGUGGCCAGUUUGUGGCCGCACUAAGGCCCCCAGGAGCCACGUUGCCUGGACCUGUGUCCCACCUGGCGCUGGGGUCUGAGGGCCAGAUCCUGUUGCAGAGCUCAGCGCGGGAGCAUCUGGGGGCCCAGGUCACCUACUCCUUGCACCUGUACUCGGUGAAUGGGAGGUUGCGGGCUUCACUGCCCUUGGUAGAGCAGCCCACAGCCCUCGCGGUGACGGAGGACUUUGUUCUGCUGGGCACAGCCCAGUGUGCCCUGCACAUCCUCCAUUUAAACAAACUGCUGCCGGCCGCGCCUCCCCUGCCCAUGAAGGUGCCCAUCCGCAGCGUGGCUGUGACCAAGGAGCGCAGCCACGUGCUCGUGGGUCUGGAAGACGGCAAGCUUAUCGUGGUGGGCGCAGGGCAGCCCUCUGAGCAGCCAGUUUGCGCGGAAGCUGUGGCGGUCCUCCCGGCGCAUCUCCCAGGUGUCCUCUGGGGAGACAGAGUACAACCCUGGAGAGGCACGCUGACAGCCUGCCCUGCCCCGCCCCGCCGCACAGCUCCGCCCCCAGCGGGCUUCGCCGCGGGAGGGCCCCCGCCCAGGAGUCCAAGGAGAGGGCGACGUCCCGCCCACACUCUGGCAGGGGGUGGGCGGGGCCCCACCUCUGCCCAGCUCAGGGAUUGGUGGGCGAUGUCACUCCAGGAAGUCCCGCCCCUCGCCGGCAGAGGGGCCGCCCCGGAGUCCCAGCGCUGGCCUUAGCAGCCGCACAGCACUUUUUGCACAGCCUGGGGUGGGGAGUCCAGGUUCCCAAGCCCCCGUCCCGGCAGAGCACGGGGGCCGGGCCGUGGCCUUAAUCCUAAGGGCGGCCCCCCGCUCUCGUAUCUCAGCAAUAAACCUGGACUAGUUUUGUAGCUGUUCCGCCUCCAAGCAUGUGUACACGCGCGGCGUCUCAACCCGCCCUGGCCACAGUCCCGGGCUAGCGUCCCCCUGGUCCAUGAGCACCUGCGGCGACCCGUCCCCUCCCCAACCACACCGCCCCUGUCCCUAGGGGCCCCGGCCGCAGUUUCUCUGGCAGCUGCACGCAGCCCCCCUUCUGGCUCACCUCCACGCGCGUGUGCGCGUUCCGGGGCCGGGCGGGGCAAGACCGUGGGCGGCUCCGCCCACUCGGUGUCCAGCCCUCCUCCUGUCCGCGCCGCAGCUUUAGUCUCAGGCGGGUAAGAACCUGGUAUCCCCAGGGACUCCGCUCCGUCUUCCCGGCCGGCCCAAGGCCCGGAGGCCCCGUCCAGCCCGGCUGAGCAGAUCCUGGGACCCGCGGAGGGUCGGGCCCCACAGGCAAAAUCCCUUCCUCUGCCCAGACCAGGGUCUCUUCCCCAGGCCUCAGGAGGUAGGUCCC